CACGCCGUAAACGAUGGAUGCUAGGUGUUGGUGGUAUCGACCCCAUCAGCGCCGCAGCUAACGCGUUAAGCAUCCCGCCUGAGGACUACGGCCGCAAGGCUAAAACUCAAAGGAAUUGACGGGGGCCCGCACAAGCAGCGGAGCGUGUGGUUUAAUUCGAUGCAACACGAAGAACCUUACCAGGGUUUGACAUGUACGUGGUAGGGAUGUGAAAGCUGAACGACCCCUUCGGGGGAGCGUACACAGGUGC
rnacentral:rRNA from 1 species